AGAAACACGGGUAGUUGCCCAGGAAAUGGUGGGGAGAAGGUAUUAUUGUGCCCGUUUUACAGAUGAGAAAACUGAGACUUAAACAAGUUGAGGAAUGUGCCCAGGUUCAUCAAGUUAGGAAGCUGUGAUGUAAGCACAGAUCUGCAUGAUAUAAACUUACUUUUCCUUAAAAUUUUCUGUUAUAGGGAGUUCCCUGGUGGCCUAGCAGUUAAGGAUUCACUGUUGUCACUGCUGUGGCUCAGUUUCAAUCCCUGGCCUGGGAACUUAUGCAUGCCAUGGGUAUAGCCCACAAAAAAAUCUAUUAUAAAGUUGAUGAGUAUUCUUAUAGAUAAGCACAUAAUCACAUCUGAUUUUUUUUUUUUUUUUUUUUUUUUUGGCCAUGUUAGCAGCAUGUGGAAGUCCCCCGGCCAGGGAUCAAAACUGCACCACAGGAAUUCCCAUGAUGGCUCAGUGGAAAAGAAUCUGACUAGUAUCCGUGAGGACGCAGGUUCGAUCCCUGGUCUCUCUCAGUGGGUUAAGGAUCUGACAUUGCUGUGAGCUGUGAUAUAGGUCACAGACAUGGCUUGGAUCUAGCGUUGCUGUGGCUGUGGUAUAGGCUGGCAGCUGCAGCUCUGACUCGACCCCUAGCAUGGGAACCUCCAUACGCCGCAGGCACGGCCCUAAAAAGACAAAAAAAAGAAAAACCCUGCACAACAGUUUGAUUGUUUCCAUAAAAUGAACUUCUGGAGGUAGGAAUCCUGGAUCAUAAGAGGUGUACCUGUAAUAGGUGAAGUAUUCAGACAAAGACAAAUAUCACACAAUACCACUUAGUUAUAGAAUUUAGAAAAAGAGACACAAAUGAACUUAUAUGCAAAAGAGAAAUAGACCCACAUACAUAGAAAACAAACUUAUGAUUACCAAAGGAGAAAGGUGGAAAGGGAGAUAGAUUAGGAGUUUAGGACUGACAAAUAAACACUUCCAUAUAUAAAAUAGAUAACCAGCAAGGACCUGUUCAUAGCACAGGGAACUCCUCAUUUGUUUUUUGUUCUUUUUGUCUUUUUAGGGCCACAUCCAUGGCAUAUGGAUGUUCCCAGGCUAGGGGUCCAAUGGGUGCUACAGCUGCCAGCCUUCACCACAGCCACAGCAACGCCAAAUCCUUAACCCACUGAUCGAGGCCGGGGAUUGAACCUGCAUCCUCAUGGAUGCUAGUCAGAUUCACUUCCGCUGAGCCAUAACUGGAACUCCUCUCCUCAUAUUUUUUAAAAUUUAUUUUAUUGAAGUAUAAUUGAUUUACAAUGUCGUGUUAAUUUCUGCUGUACAGAGAAGUGAUUCAGCUAUACAAAUGCAUGUGUUCUUUUUAAUAUUAUUUUCUAUUAUGGUUUAUCACAGGAUAUUGAAUAUAGUUCCCUGUGCUCUACAAUAGGAUCUUGUUGGUUAUCCAUUCUCUAUAAAAACUUUGCAUCUGCUAAUUCCAAACUGCCAAUCUAUCCCUUUCCCCCCUCCCCCCUUGGCAACCACAAGUCUGUUCUCUAUGUGUGUGUGUAGGUCGAAGAUGCAGCUGGCUUUGCUGUGGCUGUGGUGUAGGCCAGCAGCUACAGCUCUGAUUCGACCCCUAUCUAGCCUGGAACUUUCAUAUACCACAGGUGCAGCCCCAAAAAAAGUUACAAAUAGCCCCGGGACGAUUUCAUUUUUACCAGUUAAUCCUACGAAGAUUUUCUGCUGGAAGGGAACUUAGAAGCUGUUAGCUUUUUCCCAAAGCCACAACUAGCCUACAAGGGCCACCUGCAUCUGUUGGCAUUUGGGUAAGUGUCCAGAGGAACAGAGGAAGAUGUCAGGUUCCCGGCAGUGGGGAGGGGAUUAGUGAGGCCCUGUCCUGUGGGUGCUACCAUGAAGGGGGUUACACGGCAGCGAGGGGCCAAGGAUGCAGGGCAGGGAUGUUCACAGAGGAAAGGAAUUGUGGUUGAGAGGAGGCGGCAGCAGAGACUUCCACGCUGGUCAAACGUCUUCCCUGUGUAUAGUACCAACCCUAGUUCUGAUUUCCAAACUCCUCUGGUACACCUCUUUUUUUUUUUUUUGCUGGAGUGCUAGAACAUUCUUGGGUAAUUUUCCAAUUUUAAUUCACCUUCAUCUUAAAAAGAAAUACAUGCCUCAUGGCAUUUUUUAAGAGGGGUGGGUGUUUGAUGAGAUGAGAUGAGUGACAAUAGGGUGUCACAACUCCAAGAAGGUUUCGUAUCACUGGGUUUAGAGUUUCCCCGUGAGUAGGAGUUUGAUGAAGGGAAAAAAAGUGCAAUGGCUCCCAGAUCACUCUGCCCUACUACGCUGAUGUGCAGACUCGGCGCCUUCCUACACCACUGCCAAGCUCCAGCCCGGGGGUGAGUGAACCCCGCAAAGCUCUCAAAGCUCGUGCUUGGCACUCACCCAGCAGGUCGACAAAGUGGCAGUGGAAGGAAGCGUUAUGGGUCCGUUGGUAGCAGCAGGACCCCGAGGGAAAGACCAGCCAAGGCAGACUGGCCAGGCAUCCAGGUUACAGCACAAAGCCUUCCAGGAACCCUUAAGACAGUAGCAGCCUGGAGCCCUGGCCUCACGUUUCACUGCAAAGGAGGCCAUCACCUCAGUGGGUUAGGGUGCUUCUCUCUGGUGCUCUGUGUUCAGAGGUUCACAGGCCCAGCAGAGGGAAAAAAAGACAAGACAAAUCUGACCUAUUAGCAUCCGUUUACUCUUGGGCUUGACUCUGAAGCAGUGCUGGGUGGUGCCUUUCAGGACUGGAAGAGUCUAGAAGCUUCCUCCUAUGUUGGAAGGUGAUUCAUGACUUAAUGUCACCAUUUUUUUAAACUCUGGAUUAUUAGAACUCUUCUGGAGGUGACUUUUUUUUUCUUCUUAGGGCCACAUGCACAGCACAUGGGAGUUCCAAUACCUAAAUCAAUACCUAUUGAAUCCAUACCUAAAACAAAAGUGAGAAGGGGUUCUGCCUGACCCGGGACGGGGGCCUGGGUCCUUUACCUCCCCCUCCUGGCCCCUGGGACGCAAAUCUGUCACAAGUUCCAGAAUUCUGCCGUCAUCCAAAUCGCCAUUUCUCAAUCUCCACGGGAAAUUUUGUAUCUGGCAUUUUGGUGGCUGUUUUAAAGUGUUACACAAGAUUUGGCAAAGUCCCUCUGGGAGGGGCAGGCACCUUCGUCUGGACUUGAAAGCCGGCAGGCGUGACAGGAGAGUGACCGCUUCGAGCUCUGCCCGGCGGCGCUGUCCUCCCGUCCACUCCACAUGUGGCACCUGGUUGAGAAAAGGCCUUCGGAAGAAGCAGACGGUGCCAGAGGACAAGACGAGCAUGACACACGCCUGACUUAGGUCAGACAGCCCUGCGGCUUUCCCUUCCCAGCUGACUAAGGACGCCUCCCACCACGCCGCUUGCUUGCCCAGGCCUGUCCUGACAUCUGACGUUAGAUGGUGGUGACUAGUCAGCUUUCCCCCAGGAGCUAAUGAACACACAGCAGAUGCAGACCUGCAACCUGUCAGAACCCUCCCGAAGGCUCUGGCGCUCUCUUUGUCUGAACACAAAUGAGUGGGGCCACACAGGCAGCUUCUUUGUGGGCCCAGCUGAAUAAUCCAAAAGAGUUGUUACUCAAGAUUUUGCUGGAAAAGAGAGAGGAAGGGACUCGGCCUCAGGAUGCACAGGGAGCUGCUUUGGUACCGGAAUCGAAAUGAAAUGCAUUCUUUGGAAUCAAUGAGCUCUGGUCCCAGGACCAGGAAGGCAGGAAGUCAGGCCUGGGCUGUGGGGCUGAUUUCAGGUGCCCCCCGGCUUUGACGAAGGAGGAAAAGUCAUGGCCCUGUGCCUCUAACACCCUCCCUGAUCAGGCCCAGUGGGUCCACCACAUUCUUGGCACAGUUUGAGACAAGUUCACGAAAGCAUCCUGUCCCCUGAAAACUGACCCAACGCGGCGGGCAUGUGCCAAGAGUGUGUCUGCCUGUGAUGGCGGAGACAGAUGGCGACGCUGCCCUGAUCAGAGACACUAGUUCCCCAGGUGAGGAGGCAGCCUGGCCUCCUCCUGGGGGUGGAUGCAGGUCUCCAGAGCUAGAGCCCAACACUCAGCUCCACGGACUCACACUGAAGACAGUCCUGAGAACCAGCUUACGGGAGCAGAGCAGAGAUUCCAGAACCGGGAGCCGGCUGGUCUGUGCUCAAGUCCCAGCCUCUGUAGAAAGGGGGCGAUGAUCAAAUCAGAGUCAUUGCCAAGAAGGAUCGGAACGUGUCAUCAGACAGGGCCCAACACACAGUAGGGGCGGGGUCAGUGUGAGCCGCUUUUAUCUUGACACCUGGAUUUUCCUCGACCUCGGCCCCACUGGGGCCACACUCCAGCUGUGAUUUCUUUCAGGUGCUGAAAGCAGGGGCUGCUGUUCGCCCUGUCCUGCCAUCGUGUCUCCAAAACUAUAUGGUAUGACCUUUGUCCUGGGAGAGUUCCAGCCUCCUGCUGCAGGACUUGCUGGCUGUCAGAUCCACUUGCGAUUUGGUGGGAAGGGUUUUACUUUCCACCUCUUGUCCUAAGCUUCGAGCAAAACCAGUCACGAACCUUAGAAUUACACGUCUGCGUUUCUACCAUGAAUAUGAGGGACCCGUGUGCGUGGCCAUGACCCAGCAGCUUAUUCUCGCUAAGCUUGCAAUGAUCUUGCAGUGAUCAAUACUGACAGCCACUCCAUUACUGGACCCACCGCCGUUGAGAAGUUGAGGAGUUCCAUUGUGGCGCAGCAGAAACGAUUCCGACUGGUAUCCAUGAGGACACGGGUACCAUCCCUGGCCUUGUUCAGUGGGUUGGAGGUCCAGCAUUGCUGUGAGCUGUGGAGUAGGUUGCAGACACAGCUUGGAUCCUGCAUUGCUGCAGCUGUGGGGUAGGCCGGCAGCUGUAGCUCCAAUACCACCCCUAGCCUGGGAACCUCCAUAUGCUGCAGGUGGGGCCCUAAAGAAGCAAAAAAUAAAAAUAAAUAAUUUUAUUUACAAUGUUGUGUUAGUUUCAGGUGUAUAGCAAAAUGAUUCGUUUAUAUAUAUAUACCUAAUACAUAUAUAUAUGUAUUUGUAUAUAGUCUUUUUUCAGAUUCUUUUCCCUUAUAAGUUAUUACAAAAUAUUGAGUAUAGUGCCCUGUGCUGUACAGUAGGUCCUUGUUGGUUAUCUAUUUUAUAUAUAAUGGUGUGUAUAUGUUAAUACCAGACUCCUAAUGUAUCCCCACUCCUUUUUGGUAACCACAAAUUUGUUUUCUAUGUCUGUGGGUCUGUUUCCAUUUUUUUUUUUUUUUUUUUUAAUGAUGCAACUGAACUUAUCUACAAACAGAUGAGGGAGGUUUUCUUUUUAUGCCCCUGGCAGGAGAGCAGCUGGGCCUCAGGAAAACACCAACAUCAGGGCCUAGAUAGUAUUGGGAGUGUCUUUCCAUGUCUCAACUCUAUAUCCGUGUCCACUUGAGCCUUCCAGCUCUGUAAUGGACUUUCCAUGCUUUCUCGUCAACACAGUUAAAAAAUAAAACAA
ensembl:lncRNA